UACCAAGGCAACGAUGGUUAGCUGGUCUGAGAGGAUGAUCAGCCACACUGGAACUGAGACACGGUCCAGACUCCUACGGGAGGCAGCAGUGAGGAAUAUUGCGCAAUGGGGGCAACCCUGACGCAGCAACGCCGCGUGAGUGAGGAAGGUUUUCGGACCGUAAAGCUCUGUCGAGCGGGAAGAAAUGCAUAGUGGCUAAUAUCCAUUAUGCUUGACGGUACCGCUAAAGGAAGCACCGGCUAACUCCGUGCCAGCAGCCGCGGUAAUACGGGGGGUGCUAGCGUUGUUCGGAAUCAUUGGGCGUAAAGAGCGUGUAGGCGGCUGGAUAAGUCAGAUGUGAAAGCCCUGGGCUUAACCCAGGAAGUGCAUUUGAAACUGUUCAGCUUGAGUAAGGGAGAGGAAAGUGGAAUUCCUGGUGUAGAGGUGAAAUUCGUAGAUAUCAGGAGGAACACCGGUGGCGAAGGCGACUUUCUGGCCCUAUACUGACGCUGAGACGCGAGAGCGUGGGUAGCAAACAGGAUUAGAUACCCUGGUAGUCCACGCUGUAAACGAUGUUCACUAGGUGUUGGGGGUAUUGACCCUCUCAGUGCCGCAGCUAACGCA
rnacentral:rRNA from 1 species